rfam:Lutzomyia longipalpis Contig23565, whole genome shotgun sequence.
AAAAUUGACGAAUUGGCAAGAUGUCGGCAUAGCUGAUUAGGUAUUUGAUAUCACCAGCUAUGCUGCAUCCAGUCAAUUUGAUCA